UACGUAAGGGGCAAGCGUUAUCCGGAUUUACUGGGUGUAAAGGGAGCGUAGACGGCGAUGCAAGUCUGAAGUGAAAGGCGGGGGCCCAACCCCCGGACUGCUUUGGAAACUGUAUGGCUGGAGUGCAGGAGAGGUAAGUGGAGUUCCUAGUGUAGCGGUGAAAUGCGUAGAUAUUAGGAGGAACACCAGUGGCGAAGGCGGCUUACUGGACUGUAACUGACGUUGAGGCUCGAAAGCGUGGGGAGCAAACAGG
rnacentral:rRNA from 1 species